GGGAAUCUUAGACAAUGGGGGAAACCCUGAUCUAGCCAUGCCGCGUGAGUGACGAAGGCCCUAGGGUCGUAAAGCUCUUUCAGCUGUGAAGAUAAUGACGGUAGCAGCAGAAGAAACCCCGGCUAACUCCGUGCCAGCAGCCGCGGUAAUACGGAGGGGGUUAGCGUUGUUCGGAAUUACUGGGCGUAAAGCGCACGUAGGCGGACUAUUAAGUCAGGGGUGAAAUCCCGGGGCUCAACCCCGGAACUGCCCUUGAUACUGGUAGUCUCGAGUUCGAGAGAGGUGAGUGGAAUUCCGAGUGUAGAGGUGAAAUUCGUAGAUAUUCGGAGGAACACCAGUGGCGAAGGCGGCUCACUGGCUCGGUACUGACGCUGAGGUGCGAAAGCGUGGGGAGCAAA
rnacentral:rRNA from 1 species